rnacentral:rRNA from 1 species
AUUGAACGCUGGCGGCAUGCCUAACACAUGCAAGUCGAACGGCAGCACGGUCGUAGCAAUACGAUGGGUGGCGAGUGGCGGACGGGGGAGGAAUACAUAGGAAUCUGCCCUGUUGUGGGGGAUAACGUAGGGAAACUUACGCUAAUACCGCAUACGACGGCGACGUGAAAGUGGGGGACCGCAAGGCCUCACGCGAUAGGAUGAGCCUAUGUCGGAUUAGCUAGUUGGCGGGGUAAGGGCCCACCAAGGCGACGAUCCGUAGCUGGUCUGAGAGGAUGAUCAGCCACACUGGAACUGAGACACGGUCCAGACUCCUACGGGAGGCAGCAGUGGGGAAUAUUGGACAAUGGGGGCAACCCUGAUCCAGCAAUGCCGCGUGGGUGAAGAAGGCCUUCGGGUUGUAAAGCCCUUUUGUACGGGAAGAAAAGCUUCGGAUUAAUACUUCGAGGUCAUGACGGUACCGUAAGAAUAAGCACCGGCUAACUUCGUGCCAGCAGCCGCCGUAAUAC